rnacentral:lncRNA from 1 species
UGUAAUAAAAUAUUAUAUUUAAGGUAAACCAAUCAAACACACAGAAUGUCUUUUUAUCAUAAAUUAAAUAAAACAUUAUAAAUAUGUGUAUGUCACUUUUUGUAAUUUGAUCGAGAAAAAGAAUAGCAAAAUUUCCUACAUUUUGAUCAUUCCCGUAGAAGACAGAACAGAAAACGCAAAUCACAUGUGUCAGAAUUGGUAGGCUUGGUUUAUUCACAUUAUUGGGCCUCAUAGCCCAAAUCACACCAUCCCUACCACCGUCGGAAAGCUUUCACUGUUUCUUCUUCCAUGUCUCAUCCCAUAUCCAGCUAAGCUCCCAGAUCAGAUUCCUCUUCCUGGAUCUCCAUUUUGUGUUAAUUCAUGAAUAUAUUUUUCGCUCAGUUCCAGGCUGAUCUCCGUUCGAAUGACACCCUUAGCCAAUCAUCCGCUCUCCUUCAAGCUCUCCAACAAUCCGCCGCCGGACGAGACUUUUCGGUGAUCGCCAACUCCGCAGUGGAGGAGAUCGUCGCAUCUCCAGCGUCGGCCGUUUGCAAGAAGCUAGUCUUCGACCUCGUCAGAUCCACACGCCUCACUCCGGAUCUCUGGGACACGGUUUGCUCUGGCGUCAAAACCGAUCUCCAUUUCUCUGACCCCGAUGUAACCGCCGCCGCUGCCGCCGUCUCCAUCCUCGCUGCUCUCCCCUCCUUCUCGAGUUAGCUAUAGCAAAAAUAAUAAGUAUGCUAAGAAACGUUUGGUAGAUGGUUUGAAGAUGAGCCAAGCAUACCUAUUUAUAUUGUGGAAGCACCCUCUAUACGAAUCUUAACACACAUUAAGUGUAGAUCGUGGCUGAGAGAGUUAAUAAGAUGUUUUAAUGCGAUGAAUCUCGAAGCUACGAAGUUUGGAUGGAUAGAAAGAAGGCGAAAGGACUGGACUUGAUCAGAAUCAGCAGAAGGAUUCAUGACACAGAUUCUGCACCACAAUCUCUCUAAUGGUGAAUCGCGCCUCAUUUGGACGAACCCUAAAUGACGCGACUAAGAGCAGAAGACAUUCUAACCCUAAACAACGAAACGCAUAUUGGCGAAGCUUUGUGUUUCAGGCGACUUUGGGUUUCAUAGCGUGGACAGAAAUCGAAAGCCCAGUACACAUAAACACAAAUUAAAAAUUAAACGAAGCGUGUUUGACUAUGACAGGUGUCAGCUUAGGGUGCCUCUAUUUGAUGACGUGGCAU